rnacentral:rRNA from 1 species
GACGAACGCUGGCGGCGUGCUUAACACAUGCAAGUCGAGCGGUAAGGCCCUUUCGGGGGUACACGAGCGGCGAACGGGUGAGUAACACGUGGGUGACCUGCCCUCAGCUCUGGGAUAAGCCUGGGAAACUGGGUCGUAAUACCGGAUAUGACUCCAUGACGCAUGUUGUGGGGUGGAAAGCCUUGUGCGGCUGAGGAUGGGCCCGCGGCCUAUCAGCUUGUUGGUGGGGUGAUGGCCUACCAAGGCGACGACGGGUAGCCGGCCUGAGAGGGCGACCGGCCACACUGGGACUGAGACACGGCCCAGACUCCUACGGGAGGGCAGCAGUGGGGAAUCUUGCGCAAUGGGCGAAAGCCUGACGCAGCGACGCCGCGUGAGGGAUGACGGCCUGG